AGAGUUUGAUCCUGGCUCAGGAUGAACGCUAGCGGGAGGCCUAACACAUGCAAGUCGAACGGGAUCCCCGAGCAAUCGGGGUGAGAGUGGCGCACGGGUGAAACGCGUAUGCAACCUGCCUUUAACUGAGGGAUAGCCCAUAGAAAUGUGGAUUAAUACCUCAUAGUUCUUUUGAGUCGCAUGAUUUGAAAGAUAAAGCUCCGGCGGUUAAAGAUGGGCAUGCGUGACAUUAGCUAGUUGGUGAGGUAACGGCUCACCAAGGCUACGAUGUCUAGGGGUUCUGAGAGGAUGAUCCCCCACACUGGUACUGAGACACGGACCAGACUCCUACGGGAGGCAGCAGUGAGGAAUAUUGGUCAAUGGGCGCAAGCCUGAACCAGCCAUCCCGCGUGCAGGAUGACGGCCCUAUGGGUUGUAAACUGCUUUUAUACACCAAGAAAAACAUCCACGUGUGGGUGCCCGACGGUAGUGUAUGAAUAAGCAUCGGCUAACUACGUGCCAGCAGCCGCGGUAAUACGUAGGUGGCAAGCGUUGUCCGGAAUUACUGGGCGUAAAGGGUGCGUAGGCGGCUUUUUAAGUCAGUGGUGAAAUCCUGCCGCUUAACGGUAGAAUUGCCAUUGAUACUGAAAAGCUUGAGUACAUUUGAGGUAAGCGGAAUGUGUAGUGUAGCGGUGAAAUGCUUAGAUAUUACACAGAACACCAAUUGCGAAGGCAGCUUACUAAACUGUUACUGACGCUGAUGCACGAAAGCGUGGGGAGCGAACAGGAUUAGAUACCCUGGUAGUCCACGCCGUAAACGAUGCUCACUCGCUGUUUGCGAUACACAGCAAGCGGCCAAGCGAAAGCAUUAAGUGAGCCACCUGGGGAGUACGAUCGCAAGGUUGAAACUCAAAGGAAUUGACGGGGGCCCGCACAAGCGGAGGAACAUGUGGUUUAAUUCGAUGAUACGCGAGGAACCUUACCUGGGCUUAAAUGUAGAGCGACAGAUUGUGAAAGCAGUCCUUCUUCGGACGAUCUACAAGGUGCUGCAUGGUUGUCGUCAGCUCGUGCCGUGAGGUGUCGGGUUAAGUCCCAUAACGAGCGCAACCCUUAUCGUUAGUUGCCAUCAUUUAGAGAUGGGCACUCUAACGAGACUGCCGCCGUAAGGUGUGAGGAAGGUGGGGAUGACGUCAAGUCAGCACGGCCCUUAUAUCCGGGGCUACACACGUGUUACAAUGGUCGAUACAAAGGGCAGCUACACGGCGACGUGAUGCAAAUCUCCAAAAUCGAUCUCAGUUCGGAUUGAAGUCUGCAACUCGACUUCAUGAAGUUGGAUUCGCUAGUAAUCGUGCAUCAGCAACGGCACGGUGAAUACGUUCCCGGGCCUUGUACACACCGCCCGUCAAGCCAUGGAAGCUGGGGGUACCUGAAGUCUGUAACCGCAAGGAACGGCCUAAGGUAAGACCGGUGACUGGGGCUAAGUCGUAACAAGGUAACC
rnacentral:rRNA from 1 species